UACGGAGGGGACUAGCGUUGUUCGGAAUUACUGGGCGUAAAGCGCACGUAGGCGGCUUUGUAAGUCAGGGGUGAAAUCCCGAGGCCCAACCUCGGAACUGCCUUUGAUACUGCAAAUCUCGAGUCCGGAAGAGGUGAGUGGAAUUCCUAGUGUAGAGGUGAAAUUCGUAGAUAUUAGGAAGAACACCAGUGGCGAAGGCGGCUCACUGGUCCGGUACUGACGCUGAGGUGCGAAAGCGUGGGGAGCAAACAGG
rnacentral:rRNA from 1 species